UUUAAGUAUAAUCGUGUGUGACCGUCCGUCUUAUUUAAUUUUUUUUAUAAUUAGUAUUUUUAUUGUUAUUAAAUGAUAAAACAUGAACAACACAUAUAAAAUAUGUGACUUAUUUUUUAAAAAAAAUUCAGAUAAAACGGACAUUUAAUCGUUGGACAAAAAAACAUACAUCUGCACUUAAA
rnacentral:pre_miRNA from 1 species